AGUGAACGCUGGCGGUAGGCCUAACACAUGCAAGUCGAACGGCAGCACAGUAAGAGCUUGCUCUUACGGGUGGCGAGUGGCGGACGGGUGAGGAAUACAUCGGAAUCUACUUUUUCGUGGGGGAUAACGUAGGGAAACUUACGCUAAUACCGCAUACGACCUACGGGUGAAAGCAGGGGAUCUUCGGACCUUGCGCGAUUGAAUGAGCCGAUGUCGGAUUAGCUAGUUGGCGGGGUAAAGGCCCACCAAGGCGACGAUCCGUAGCUGGUCUGAGAGGAUGAUCAGCCCACUGGAACUGAGACACGGUCCAGACUCCUACGGGAGGCAGCAGUGGGGAAUAUUGGACAAUGGGCGCAAGCCUGAUCCAGCCAUACCGCGUGGGUGAAGAAGGCCUUCGGGUUGUAAAGCCCUUUUGUUGGGAAAGAAAAGCAGCAGGUUAAUACCCCGCUGUUCUGACGGUACCCAAAGAAUAAGCACCGGCUAACUUCGUG
rnacentral:rRNA from 1 species